GUAACAAGGUCUCCGUUGGUGAACCAGCGGAGGGAUCAUUGCUGGAACGCGCCCCAGGCGCACCCAGAAACCCUUUGUGAACUUAUACCUUUUGUUGCCUCGGCGCAUGCUGGCCUCUAGCAGGCCCCUCACCCCGGUGAGGAGACGGCACGCCGGCGGCCAAGUUAACUCUUGUUUUUACACUGAAACUCUGAGAAAAAAACACAAAUGAAUCAAAACUUUCAACAACGGAUCUCUUGGUUCUGGCAUCGAUGAAGAACGCAGCGAAAUGCGAUAAGUAAUGUGAAUUGCAGAAUUCAGUGAAUCAUCGAAUCUUUGAACGCACAUUGCGCCCUCUGGUAUUCCGGAGGGCAUGCCUGUUCGAGCGUCAUUUCAACCCUCAAGCAUUGCUUGGUGUUGGGGCACUGCUUUUAACGAAGCAGGCCCUGAAAUCUAGUGGCGAGCUCGCCAGGACCCCGAGCGUAGUAGUUAAACCCUCGCUCUGGAAGGCCCUGGCGGUGCCCUGCCGUUAAACCCCCAACUUUUGAAAAUUUGACCUCGGAUCAGGUA
rnacentral:rRNA from 1 species